GGACUGGGGCUCAGCGGUAGAGCACUCGCCUGUCAUGUGCGAGGCCCUGGGUCCGAUCCUCAGCACCA
rnacentral:tRNA from 1 species